rnacentral:misc_RNA from 1 species
CUACUCUCGGUUGGAAACCCAGGACUAAAGGGGGUUACCAACCGGGAGUAAA